GUCUGGAGUUUUACUGAUUUCAUAGAUAAGUAUUGAGAUUCAAGAGUUUUGUUGUUCUUCACAAUAUUUAGCGACCAUAUCUCACUACAAUACAGUAAUAUUGGUAAAUCACUUAUUUCAUUAAUUCCCGACUAGUUAUUGCUUUAUCAAUUGUUUUGCCAUAUUAAUUAUGAUUUUGAUCCCUCCUGUCGGUAUGCUUCACUUGUCCUCAAACUUUUGCAUGGAUACGACAAUCUUUCCGAGAAAAACUGUCAAUAAAAAAAACCAGCUACGUUAUUGGCCAAAGUGGUGGAGGCAAAAUAUGACAAAAUGCCCCUAAAUGAACAAAAUAAAUUCCAGAAAAAUGACCGCCUUACCUCUUGAAUCCACCCAUGAAUUAUGUACUUACUGUCCAUGUCAAGUUUGUAAAUAUUUCUUGUUUUGAUUUUCACGGAAGGGUACUUUGACAUGUUGGAAGAUAUUGCCAAAAUGUGUCAAUGAAAAUGUUUCGAUAUGUAUAUACAAUUGGUUGUGUAUAUUGUAUUCAUGUCCUUUCCUUUUAUCUGCUAUUGUGCGUAUUAAAGUAUUGACUUGAAUGGAAGAAUACGUAUAUUUUUUUAUAGUUAUCAACGGUACCUGGCUUAUAAUUUGAUAAGUCAGACACGCGUUUCGUAUACAUAACACUCAUCAGUGACGCUCAGAUCAAAAUAGUUAGAAAGCCAAACAAGUACAAAGUUGAAAAGCA
rnacentral:lncRNA from 1 species